rnacentral:rRNA from 1 species
AAUGGAUGAUGGCGACCGGCGGAAGGGUGCGUAACGCGUGAGCAACAUGCCCUAUACAGGGAGAUACACCAGGGAAACUUGGUCUAAUAUCCCAUAGCAUUCAUUGAAGGCAUCUUUAAUGAAUUAAAGCUUCGGUGGUAUAGGAUUGGCUCGCGUGACAUUAGCCAGAUGGUGAGGUAACGGCUCACCAUAGCAAUGAUGUCGUUAGGGUUUGAGAGGAACGCCCCACACUGGGACUGAGACACGGCCCAGACUCC